UGUGGUGACACAUUUAGCGGACUAAUACUAAUAGCUCGAGGCCUUAUCCAAA
rnacentral:rRNA from 1 species